rnacentral:rRNA from 1 species
CCGAACCGACUAGUGUUGCAAAAUUAGCGGAUGAGCUGUGGAUAGGGGUGAAAGGCUAAACAAAUCUGGAGAUAGCUGGUUCUCCCCGAAAACUAUUGAGGUAGUGCCUCGUGUAUGACUCCAGGGGGUAGAGCACUGUUAUGGCUAGGGGGACAUGGCGUCUUACCAAACCAUGGCAAACUCCGAAUACUUGGAAGUUUGAGCACGGGAGACAGAGCACCGGGUGCUAACGUCCGGACUCAAGAGGGAAACAACCCAGACCGCCGGCUAAGGUCCCUAAUAUUGACUAAGUGGAAAACGAAGUGGAAAGGCUAAGACAGUCAGGAAGUUGGCUUAGAAGCAGCCAUCCUUCAAAGAAAGCGUAAUAGCUCACUGAUCGAGUCUUUCUGCGCGGAAGAUGUAACGGGGCUAAGUCAAUAACCGAAGCCGCGGAUUCACACUUGUGUGUGAGUGGUAGGGGAGCGUUCUGUAAGCCUGCGAAGGUGACUCGUAAGGGUUGCUGGAGGUAUCAGAAGUGCGAAUGCUGACAUGAGUAACGUUAAAGCGGGUGAAAAGCCCGCUCGCCGUAAGCCCAAGGUUUCCUGCUCUACGUUCAUCGGAGCAGGGUGAGUCGGCCCCUAAGGUGAGGCUGAGAAGCGUAACUGAUGGGAACAAGGUUAAUAUUCCUUGACCACCGCUGAAUGCGAAGGGGGGACGGAGUAUUGAAGAUCAUCCGGGUGUUGGAUAUCCCGGUUUGCGAGCGUAGGAGGCUGACAGGCAAAUCCGUCAGCGAAUCUCCGAGGCAAAGCAUCGAGCUCUCUUUUGAGCGAAGUGAUUGGAUGUGCUUCCAGGAAAAGCCUCUAAGCUCCAGUUCAGCGGGACCGUACCGCAAACCGACACUGGUGGGCGAGCUGAAUAUGCUCAGGCGCUUGAGAGAACUCAGGAGAAGGAACUCGGCAAAUUGACACCGUAACUUCGGGAUAAGGUGUGCCUUUGUAGCGUGGAGGGAGAAACACCCCGAGCGCGAAGAGGUCUCAGAUAAUCGGUGGCUGCGACUGUUUAUUAAAAACACAGCACUCUGCAAAGACGAAAGUCGACGUAUAGGGUGUGAUGCCUGCCCGGUGCUGGAAGAUUAAUUGAUGGGGUGCAAGCUCCUGAUCGAAGUCCCAGUAAACGGCGGCCGUAACUAUAACGGUCCUAAGGUAGCGAAAUUCCUUGUCGGGCAAGUUCCGACCUGCACGAAUGGCAUAACGAUGGCCACACUGUCUCCUCCUGAGACUCAGUGAAGUUGAAGUGUUUGUGAUGAUGCAAUCUCCCCGCGGCUAGACGGAAAGACCCCAUGAACCUUUACUGUAGCUUUGCAUUGGACUUUGAACCGAUCUGUGUAGGAUAGGCGGGAGCCUGUGAAACCACAACGCCAGUUGUGGCGGAGGCGUCCUUGAAAUACCGCCCUGAUUUGUUUGAGGUUCUAACCUGGGACAGUCAUCCUGUCCGGGGACCGUGCAUGGUAGGCAGUUUGACUGGGGCGGUCUCCUCCUAAAGGGUAACGGAGGAGUGCGAAGGUACGCUAGGUACGGUCGGAAAUCGUGCUGAUAGUGCAAUGGCAAAAGCGUGCUUGACUGCGAGACCCACAAGUCGAGCAGAUACGAAAGUAGGUCAUAGUGAUCCGGUGGCUCUGUAUGGAAGGGCCAUCGCUCAACGGAUAAAAGGUACUCUGGGGAUAACAGGCUGAUACCGCCCAAGAGUUCAUAUCGACGGCGGUGUUUGGCACCUCGAUGUCGGCUCAUCUCAUCCUGGGGCUGUAGCCGGUCCCAAGGGUAUGGCUGUUCGCCAUUUAAAGAGGUACGUGAGCUGGGUUUAAAACGUCGUGAGACAGUUUUGUCCCUAUCUGCCGUGGGCGCUGGAAGAUUGACGGGGGCUGCUCCUAGUACGAGAGGACCGGAGUGGACUCACCUCUGGUGUACCGGUUGUCACGCCAGUGGCAUCGCCGGGUAGCUAUGUGGGGAA